rnacentral:rRNA from 1 species
GCUACACAUGCAGUCGAGCGGCAGCACAGAGGACUUGUUCCUUGGGUGGCGAGCGGCGGACGGGUGAGUAAUGCCUAGGAAAUUGCCCUGAUGUGGGGGAUAACCAUUGGAAACGAUGGCUAAUACCGCAUGAUGCCUACGGGCCAAAGAGGGGGACCUUCGGGCCUCUCGCGUCAGGAUAUGCCUAGGUGGGAUUAGCUAGUUGGUGAGGUAAUGGCUCACCAAGGCGACGAUCCCUAGCUGGUCUGAGAGGAUGAUCAGCCACACUGGAACUGAGACACGGUCCAGACUCCUACGGGAGGCAGCAGUGGGGAAUAUUGCACAAUGGGCGCAAGCCUGAUGCAGCCAUGCCGCGUGUAUGAAGAAGGCCUUCGGUUGUAAAGUACUUUCAGUCGUGAGGAAGGUGGUGUUGUUAAUAGCAGCAUCAUUUGACGUUAGCGACAGAGAGCACCGGCUA